rnacentral:rRNA from 1 species
GUGGGGAAUCUUCCGCAAUGGACGAAAGUCCGACGGAGCGACGCCGCGUGAGUGAAGAAGGCCUUCGGGUCGUAAAGCUCUGUCAUCAGGGACGAACGGCCGGUGGAGUGGAAAGCCACCGGAUUGACGGUACCUGAGAAGGAAGCCACGGCUAACUACGUGCCAGCAGCCGCGGUAAUACGUAGGUGGCAAGCGUUGUCCGGAAUUAUUGGGCGUAAAGCGCGCGCAGGUGGGAUCUUAAGUCCAUUUUGAAAGUUCGGAGCUCAACUCCGUGAUGGGAUGGAAACUGGGAUUCUUGAGUACCGGAGAGGAAAGCGGAAUUCCCCGUGUAGCGGUGAAAUGCGUAGAUAUGGGGAGGAACACCAGUGGCGAAGGCGGCUUUCUGGACGGUGUCUGACACUGAGGCGCGAAAGCUAGGGGAGCGAACGGGAUUAGAUACCCCAGUAGUCC